GACGAACGCUGGCGGCGUGCCUAAUACAUGCAAGUAGAACGCUGAAGAGAGGAGCUUGCUCUUCUUGGGUGAGUUGCGAACGGGUGAGUAACGCGUAGGUAACCUGCCUUGUAGCGGGGGAUAACUAUUGGAAACGAUAGCUAAUACCGCAUAACAAUGGAUGACACAUGUCAUUUAUUUGAAAGGGGCAAUUGCUCCACUACAAGAUGGACCUGCGUUGUAUUAGCUAGUAGGUGAGGUAAUGGCUCACCUAGGCGACGAUACAUAGCCGACCUGAGAGGGUGAUCGGCCACACUGGGACUGAGACACGGCCCAGACUCCUACGGGAGGCAGCAGUAGGGAAUCUUCGGCAAUGGGGGCAACCCUGACCGAGCAACGCCGCGUGAGUGAAGAAGGUUUUCGGAUCGUAAAGCUCUGUUGUAAGUCAAGAACGGGUGUGAGAGUGGAAAGUUCACACUGUGACGGUAGCUUACCAGAAAGGGACGGCUAACUACGUG
rnacentral:rRNA from 1 species